UUUAGAGAAAGUGGGCGGUGCCUUUGCAGAAUUUGAAAUUCCCAUUGGCUCCUGGGAAUUGGUAGACUGCCGCCCACUGUUCACCUGCCCAACGGCUGCCCGCGGACGCUUUCCUAUCACUGCUGUCAUGUGUGGAAGCACAAGCACUGUGGAAGGAAGGCUUUAGAGGAAAACACAGAAUGGUCUCCUAGAUGCCAAAGACACACAUUUGCCGCGGGGCUGAUAUCAGACGUGCCAUUUGAGAGAACGGGGUGUUCUGAGUCUCUUCUUCUUCCUGCAUCAGAUGAAGGUAACAUCCUUGUCUUCCUGGGCUCUCCUGACAGUUGGUAGGUCA
ensembl:lncRNA